UUUUUAGAAUAAGUAUGUCCCAUGCAAUAUUUGGGACAUAUUUAUGCCAAAA
rnacentral:pre_miRNA from 1 species